rnacentral:tRNA from 1 species
AGGAAGGGCAAGAAGACAACAAGCACUGCUAAUGCUUGUGACCAGGGUUAAACUCCAUGGCUUUCUC